rnacentral:misc_RNA from 1 species
AUGGCACGUACUAAGCAAACUGCUCGUAAGUCCACUGGAGGCAAGGCUCCAAGGAAACAGCUUGCCACUAAGGUAACCUUUUUUUUUAAGUUAUCAACUUGGUUGAAUUAAAACUGAAGUAUUCUUUACGUAAUUGUCGUGGGUGUUCUGUGGUCUGAAGUAAAAUUUUGUUAUAGGCUGCCCGCAAGUCCGCCCCAACCACAGGAGGUGUGAAGAAGCCCCACAGAUAUCGACCUGGAACUGUUGCUCUUCGGUAUGAUGUUGAAACUAGUUCUUGUCAAUCCAACAAGAGUAUCUGUUAAAGUUCUACUUUUGUUCGAAAUCCUCGUCUUUGACUUUGUAUGAACAUGAAUUUUCAGUGAAAUCCGUAAGUACCAAAAGAGUACUGAACUCCUCAUCAGGAAACUCCCAUUCCAGAGGCUUGUCCGUGAAAUUGCUCAGGAUUUCAAGGUAAGUGACGCUGAUUUGCAUGCAUUGCUGAAAUCAGAUUGGCCUAUCAAUUUAGAGUGGAUGUAUUGGGGUUGUGGUUUCUUUGAUUAUCAUAGCACAUUUAAAUGAUCUUGUUGAUUAAUGUUAUUUCUGUUUUUGCAGACUGAUCUGCGAUUCCAGAGUCAUGCAGUUUUGGCCUUACAAGAGGCAGCCGAAGCAUACCUUGUUGGAUUGUUCGAAGAUACGAAUCUCUGCGCCAUCCAUGCCAAGCGUGUGACCAUAAUGCCCAAGGACAUUCAGCUAGCCAGGAGAAUCCGCGGUGAGAGGGCUUAAGAGCUCAAUUUGCUGCAAGGCCAGCUGAUUGUUGGUGAUUGGAUAGUGGAUCUGUUUGUGUUAGGGAUUUUACUUUCUGUCCGCUCUUAUUUUGUAUGUCUAAUUGGAUUGGCACUUUAAGUUGGGAAUAGAUUGGAUUGGGUACGGUUGAUUAUUAUCAAACCCUGAACAAUUUAAAUGUUGUUCGAUAAUACGUUGUUGCUGUGCAUGAAAUUGAUGUCAUCUAUUGGUUAUGAAUUUGUUUGAUCGGAUGUUGUUUUGAACAUGUGCCUAGAAAGUGGCCGAAUAUGAACGUUUAUAUCAUUAAUGAUAUAAUGUGAACGUUUUGUCAUUUUAAACGUUCAUUUUUACUCCA